GACUGGAUUUGACAGCGGGUCGGAGUGGUAAGUAAGCACGCAGUGCGCCUGAAAGUGGGCACUUAAAUCUCGGCUUUCAAAAAUUUAUCUGGCGAAAACAACUUUGCUCUCGCUGCCUAAUCGAAGCACAGUAGAUUGGCUUAAUUCCGGCACAAGGUGCUGGAACGGGACAUCACCCAAGAGCUACCUGCUCCGAAGCGUCUUGACAAGGUGGUGCAGCUAAAUCGGAGAUAGUUGGUGCUGGCCUCGCAGCAGCAAUGAAGAUCUUUAGAGGAUAAGGUGUAGGUUGGUAGCGUCGGUCUUGCCUCCGCUCGAAAAUCAAAGCGACGAUAAGCGUGUAGAAAGCUUAUUGCUUCCCUGUUUGGACGAGGGUUCAAUCCCCUCCUGGUCCACCA
rnacentral:tmRNA from 1 species